rnacentral:rRNA from 1 species
UACAGAGGGUGCGAGCGUUGUCCGGAUUGACUGGGCGUAAAGCGCACGCAGGCGGCACCGCGCGUGGGGUGUGAAAUCUGGCCGCUUAACGGCCAGGCGCCAUCCCAUACGGCGGAGCUGGAGUGAUGCAGAGGUCGAUGGAAUUGCCGGUGUAGUGGUGAAAUGCGUAGAGAUCGGCAGGAACACCCAGGGGGAAACCAGUCGACUGGGCAUCUACUGACGCUGAGGUGCGAGAGCGUGGGGAGCGAACCGG